rnacentral:tRNA from 1 species
GGCUGAGUAACUCAGUUGGUAGAGUAGCCGGUUCAUACCCGGUAUGUCGACGGUUCAAGUCCGCCCUCAGCCACCA